AGACGUCUACAUUAGAUACCCGUGUAGUCCCAGCCGUAAACUAUGCGCGUUAGGUGUAUCGGUGACCACGAGUCACCGAGGUGCCGAAGGGAAACCGUGAAACGUGCCGCCUGGGAAGUACGGUCGCAAGGCUGAAACUUAAAGGAAUUGGCGGGGAGCACCACAACGGGUGGAGCCUGCGGUUUAAUUGGACUCAACGCCGGGAGGCUCACCGGAUAAGACAGCGGAAUGAUUGCCGGGCUGAAGACUCUGCAUGACUAGCUG
rnacentral:rRNA from 1 species